CUUGCUUCUAGUGCAUAGACACCCAUUGUACUAACUAGACGUGACUUUCAUUUCAGUCGCUCCGUAAACCUUGUCAUCUAAAAGGAUGCAGCUUCAAACAUCUUCAUCAACGCUGAUACAGACAACCAUAGAAACUUAGAAUAAUUCAGAAAAUUCUGGACUUUGAGUCCUUCUGGCGAACUAGGUGGGGAUAUACUAGCCUUCUGAGAUAUAUUCAACCUUGGUGGAAACAGAGUGGCACCUUGAAAUUUGCAUUAUGAGCCAUGGAUAUUGAACAACACUCCUUUGGAAAUGGUAGAGAAAGAAUUGAAAGAAUCAUCAAAAACAUAAACCAAGACCAAAGACAAGGGAUAAAGCAAGUAUGCUAUGGCUGAUGUCCAAACUGGGAAGAAGGUGCUCAAACUUGUAAGGCAUCCCAUUAUGCCACAAACCAUAAGCAAAACCAGUAUUUCAGCUGAGAAAUGCCAUGAUAAUCCUCGAAAAUAGAUCAGCGAAAGAAGAACACAGAAGCCUAACACAUUGUUCAUGAAUACCCCACCAUAAAUCUGCAAGAGUAAAGGAAACCCAACAGUUCAAUAUUUACAUGUAGAGACAUACAGGUUUUACUUUUGCAAUUCAUGGGAGGGAGGCAAUUGGACAUACCUCAGAAAAAGUCAAGGAUGUAGUUCUCUGUUUCUUAUGACGGGCUUCUUUGAUGGCUGAGAUGCCAAUUCUGGCAUUUGUAGCCAAAGGGACUAAGAUAAAUGAUAUGUAAAAUGAAGGAACAUUUGCAGCUGCAGAUAAAUUCUGUACACUCUGUAUAAGAGGUUCUGCUAGAAGGCCUAGCAUAGCUAUUCCAAGAGCCAAAAGCAUUAUGGCCUUAGUCCAGGCAAGUGUAGACCCAUCAAGGCGAUUCUCUAGCAGCCUGUCAAUUGUUUUCAAGUUCUUCUGCAAA